rnacentral:rRNA from 1 species
AACGAACGCUGGCGGCGUGCCUAACACAUGCAAGUCGAACGAUACCUUCGGGUCUAGUGGCGCACGGGUGCGUACCGCGUGGUAACCUGCCCUUAGGUUCGGCAUAACUCCCCGAAAGGGGUGCUAAUAUCGGAUAAUGUCUUCGGACCAAAGAUUUAUCGCCGUUGGUUGGGCCCGCGUUGGAUUAGCUAGUUGGUAGGGUAAAAGCCUACCAAGGCGACGAUCCAUAGCUGGUCGGAGAGGAGGCUCAGCCACACUGGGACUGGGACACGGCCCCGACGCGUGCGAGAGGCAGCAGAGGGGAAUAUUGGAGAAUGGGCGAAAGGCUGAUCCAGCAAGGCCGCGUGAGUGAUGAAGGCCUUAGGGUUGUAAAGCUGUUGGAACCGGGAUGAUAAUGACAGUACCGGGAGAAGAAGCACCGGCUAACUACGUG